GUAGCUAACAAACAUCUGUUCGUGCAGACAUACAGACUGUCAUAAAAUGAUUUGUCAAAAGAAGUAUUUUUCUGCUGAAGUAGUUAUUCGAGAUCACUCGAAGAUGGAUUAUGUCGACAUUGAUGAGAAGAUGAGUGAUGAGAAGAUCGUGACGACGGUGAUAAUUAUGCUUGAGGGCGGAAAAGAUUAUCCAAUUUUCGCCAUCAAGUUGAAUCUUCAGAUGAAGAAUGGCAUCCAAGCACCAGCCAGAGAUGCAAGCUCUCAGUUUCUUCACUAUUCUUCACUUUUUCCAUACUUUUCAGAACAUUGCAAUUGACAAGAGGAUGGUGGCAUCAAAAGCUAGGAAUGGACUAAAGCAAUAUAUGAAGGCCAAGCCAACAAAGUACAGUAUUUAUAUCACUUGUAUUUUCUAUGGCAAAGAACCUCAGUUAUUUAUUUUUUAUAUUUCAUAAUAUUUUACUUAUGUAUUUUACAUAUAUUUUUUUGUUCUGUUGUGCAAAUAAAUCACUUGCAUAAAGUCUAAUGGUUGUGUGUAUUAUUUUAUAAUUGCAUUAUUUUAUGAAUUGACUGAAAUAGCUUGCAGUGCCCUGCAUAACAUUUGGUCAUUAGGUUGCUUUUUGAUGUAUCCAAGGAGGUUUCUUGGUACCUGGACAUAGUCUUGGAAAAAAUAUUGUAGGAAUCUCAUUUUUCAUAAUAUCUUCCUCAAAUUUGAAAUAUAAACUGAUGAGACUUAUGUCUUUCAAUCAAUUACCUAACUGGAUUCCUACAGGUUUGUUUUCAUUUAUUUUUACAUGAAAUUGUAAAAUAUUACAUGCAGUAUAAAUUAUCUUCAAGACACUUUAAAUUCUAUAACUUUUUGUCUGUGUAAGUUUUUUCAACUUUAACAGUUGGUUAAUACACUCUAAAGUGUCUUCUUUUUAAACAUGUCUAAAUUGUGCAUGUAGUGCAAAUAGUUGAGCAACUGCAAAUAUUUUAGUUUGGGCAUGUUAUUUCUGGGGAUGUGCCUCAGGCAGGGGGAGGGAGAAAGGGAACUGA